rnacentral:misc_RNA from 1 species
CUCUUCGCAAUGAGUUUCCAGUUAGAUGGAGGAGAGAGUAAUAAAACACAGAGCUGAGAUUCCUGACUUCACAGAUCCCUGAGGAGAUGUUUACUAAAGGGAAUCUUCUGGUCACUGUUACCUUCCUCCGUACUUACCUGCCUCAUGGAGAACCCGAAAGGAAGAAGCUAUACGACUGGGGACACAUGUCUUAGAAGCACACUCAUUAGAUAAAGUGUCGCAUACUCUUUGAUAAG